rnacentral:lncRNA from 10 species
UAGGUAUAAUCAGUUUGGGUAAAUCAGUUAACUCUGCUUCUACUGGCAAUGAAGACUCAUCAGAAUUUAGAGAUUCAAUAUUACCAGCUUCAACAGGAUCUUCCCAUAUGUCACCAUUCCAAUUUUCAGGAUCCCAUUCAUUCCUAGUCAAUAUCCUCACUUUAAUAGCAAAGGCACACUGCAAGGCUCAGAAUUCAAUUUGCAUUGUAACUCAGGCACUUGCAAAAUGAGAUUCUGGGUUUGGUUUCAGAAAUCUCAACUCUGCAGCUACAGAACGUAAAGUUUCUUUCAAAGCAGAAACAGAAAUGUUCAGGUCUAGUACUUAAGUUGAGAAUUCAAAUCACUAAAGUCAUCCUUUUCUUUCUCCAAUUUGUCCAGUGCAAUUAAAAGCAACCAGCCAAUCUUAUUAGUGUGACAAAAAGUUUGAAGGUAUCAUAUAUCUCUGUCAAAACAAUAACUGAACAUGCACUAAAGGAACAAAGACUUUGGCAAUCAUACGUGACAAAGAAUAGUCUGAAAAAUUAGUUUGGGCUGGACGUGGUGGUUCACACUUGUAAUGCCAGCACUUUGGGGGGCUGAGGUGGGUGGAUCAGUUGAGGCCAGGAGUUCAACACCAGCCUGGCCAACAUGGCAAAACCACAUUUCUACUAACACCACAAAAUAUAGCCAGGCAUGGUGGCACACACCUGUAAUCUCAGCUACUCAGGGGGCUAAGGCAUGAGAAUUGCCUGAAUCCAGAGGCAGAGCAUGCGGUGAGCCAAGAUCACACCACUGCAUUCUGGCCUGGGGUGACACAGCGAGACACUGUCUUAAAAAAAAAAAAAGUUUGGAAAUGUCUCAAAUGGAGUACUACAGUCUUCAACAUAGCAAUGAAACAAAAAACAGUAAGCUCUGGAGUAGGAGAAUCUGAUUACUGGAGUUACCUCAUUAUAACAGUCAAAUGCCCAUUUUUCAACAACAAAAAUUACAAGGCAUACAAAAAAAAAAAAAAAAGGAAAGAAAGAAAACAUGGCCCAUUCAAAGUAUCAAGAAAAAAUGAUAGACACCAUCCCUGAGAAAGCCAAGACAUUGGAUUUACUCAACAAAGACAUUAAAACAACUGUAUUAAAUAUACUCAAAGAGCUAAAGGAAAAGAUGAACAAAUAAGUAAAGGAAAUCAGAAAAACAAUGAUUAACAAAAUCAGAAUAUCAACAGAGACAAAAAUUACAAAGAAGAAUAAAAAUUCUGGAGUUGAAAAGAAUAACUGAAAUGAAAAAUUCACUAGAGGAGCACAACAAUAGAUUUGAGCAGGAAGAAGAGAGAAUCAGAAAACUGGAAGAUAGGACACUGAAAUUAUCAAGUCUUGGAAUAGAAAGAAAAAAUAAAGAAAAGUAAACAACGCCUAACAGACCUAUGGAACACCGUCAAGUCAACCAAUAGAUGCACUAUGGAAGUCCCUAUAAGGAAAGAGAAAGGGGAAGAAAAAUUAUCUAAAUAAUGGCCAAAAACAACCCAAAUUUAACAAAAGAUGUGAAUCUACAAAUCCAAUAAGCCCAGGAAGUCCCAAGUAGGAUAAACUCAGAGACCCACACCAAGACACAUUAUAAUGAAAUUGUCAAGUCAUUAAGAUGGCUAUUAUAAAAAAUAUGAGCUGGGUGUGGUGGCUUACACCUGUAACCCCAAGACUUUGAGAGGCUGAGAUGGGAGGAUUGUUUGAGCCCAGGAGAUCAAGGCUGCAGUGAGCUAUGAUGGUACCAUUGCACUCCAGCCUGGGCAACAGAGCAAGACCGUCUCUCAAAAAACAAAACAAAACAAAAAUAUGAAAAAUAAGUGUUGAUGAAGAUGUGGAGAAAAUGGUACCCUAUUGUAUUGCUGGUGGAAAUGUAAAAUAAUGUAGCUGCUGUGGAAAAGUUUGGUAGUUCCUCAAAAAGUUAAAGAUAGAAUCACCAUAAUUUCCAGCAACUUCACCCCUGUAUACAUACCCAAACAAAUUGAAAGCAGGAACUCAAUAGAUACUUUUAAGCCAAUGUUCACAAGAGCAUUAGUCAAAAUUCCUUAAAAGGAGGAAAGAACCCAAAUGUCCAUCAAAAGAUAAGUGGAUUAACAAAGUGUGGUAGUCCAGGUGUGGAGGCUCAGGCAUUUAAUCCCAGCACUUUAGGAGGCCGAGGCAAACAGAUCCCUUGAGGCCACAAGUUUGAGACCAGCCUGGCCAACAUGGUGAAAUCUGGUCUCUACCAAAAAUACAAAAAUUAGCCAGGCAUGGUGGCGCGCACCUAUAGUCCCAGCUACUUGGAAAGCUGAGACACAAGAAUCACUUAUCACUUGAACCCAGGAGGUAGACGUUGUGGUGAGCCAAGCCAAGAUCGUACAGCCUGGGUGACAGAGCAAGACUCUGUCUCAAAAAAAAAAAAAAAAAAGUGUGGUAUACAUAAAGAAUGAAAUUUGGAUACAUGCUAUAACAUGGAUAAACUGUGAAAACAUUAUGCUAAAUGAAAUAAGCCAGACAUGUAUUCCAUUUAUACGAGGUACCUAGAAGAGGCAUAUUCAUAGAGACAGAAAGUAGAAUAGAGGUUACCAGGGACUUGGAGGGGAAAGGGGGAGUUAAUGUUCUUAUUGAUACAGAGUUUCUGUUUGGGAUGAUGAAGUUCUGGAAACAAAUAGUGGUGAUGGUAGUAUAACACUAUGAAUGUGCUUAAGCCACUGAAUUUUAUGUUUAAACAUGGGUAAAAUGGUAAAUUGUAUAUUAGGUAUAUUUUACUACAGAAAGGAAAAGAAAAGAAAAAGGCAUAUAAUUUCCUCCCUGAAUUCUCAAAGAACAGAAAAUGUGUUUUUCAAAUUUGACUUUUAUAUGAAAGUAAAUGACAAAAUUAAUCUCAUACAAUCACUUAGAAAUGUUUAUCUUUAUUUCAGAAUAACCUAUAGGACCAUAUCCAGAUAAAGGUCCUAUCAGUAC